GUUUUUGAAAUUUAUGCCAAGUUUCCUUUGAAAUCUUCCAAGUCAUAUUAUAGAUUAUUAUCAUCCAUUGAAAUCUUAAUCUUGAGCACCAAUUUUGCUUCUAAACUGACAUCUUUCUUGUUUACGCGAGUGUUUCAUGGAUCAAGCUCAGAUCAAGCGUUAAAUGCAACAACGAGACUUCAAUUCAAGUUUCAAAUAUGGUUGGAGAUGUUUGCUUGACCAUGCUUUCAGAUGAUGAGUUUUCUGACAAACAUCUCCAGCGAUAUUUGAAACUUAAAAUGAAGUCAUCGAGCAAGGAUCCAAGAGGAAAAAGCUAGGUUUUCAAGCCAAUCUCUGUGUUUCCCAAGAGCUUUGUUCUUCCAGGUAUGUAUGGUUAUUCCUAGUGAUAGACUGAGUUCGUCCUCAUGCCCUACAUCUUAAUUCAGGCAGUAAGAGUUAAAUCUAGGAUUAUACCCUUAGCUUCGAGAGUCUCUUAUAUGAGUCGAGUUAUUAUUUAUGAAUUCUAAAUUCUUGAUUAUGAAUAAUUGCACUAUAUUAUGCUUUGAGAUCUUUGAGUAAUUAUUCAUGUUGAUAAUCCCACAUGAACCCUGCUUUCUGAGUUUUGAUUGAGAAUCUUUAAAACAAGCAUCUUUCCUUAAAUUUAUUUUUGAGAAGUUAGCAUGAGUUCAAUAGCAAGUUAAAGUAUAAAUGUCUAUUUUGACAAGAGUUUAAGGGAACUAAAGGAUUCCCAAAAGUAUCAUUUUUAUGUUGAAAAGAAAGUACUAUUUUUCAGAAUGGUAUAAAGAGCUUUCAGGGAUUACAAGAAAUUGAGUACAGAGCAAUUACCUCUUAAAGAGGCCCUUUUGAGAACUUAUCUCAACCCAGAGAGUAUUUUUACUUGAGCAUUGAGUCAUAUAUUUUGAGAAUAGUAUUGAGUAUCGAUAUGGGGAAGAGUUUAGUCAAUUCACAUUCCCCAUAAACCAUGUAGCUAGUGUGGGAUAGGAUCGUAUUGACAUUUGGGCGACUCCUCACUGCCUCUGAGAACGCCUAUUAGAUGGAUCCAUGAGUUGAGUAUGUUCAAUACCCCGACAAGGUACAAGACAAUUCUGACAACGUGGGCGAGAUGCUGUAUCAUCUCAAAGCUCAUAGUGAUGGUUGUCGGUUAAAGAAUCUCCCUGAUUGAGUAAAGGGUAUUUCAUUAUCAUAUUUAUAUUUGACACUUCAUUGAGUUAACAUUUUAUUAGUAAAUCAUUUAAAUGGUUUUAUUUCUACUUAUGCUUUACAUUCAGUUGAGUAUGUUGCUUCAGCCUCUUCAGUUCAGUUAUUUAUUUUCCUCAGCUAUAUUACAUACUCGUACAUUCAAUGUACUGAUGUUAUUCGACCUGCAUCUUUUCAUGAUGCAGGUACAACUGUAGCUGUAUUAUUAUUCCAGUUUAAUUCAGACAUUAUAAAACCAUAGAGUAUUACUUGGAUUUGUUGUUUUUGAAAUUUACGUCAAGUUUCCUUUGCGAACAGCCUUCCUGUUAGGGUUCUCUUUUGGGGAUUUUAGACUUGAGAUUUCAACUUGCUGGUUCUCCUAAAUCAUUCUGGUGGAACUGGUAUGACUGAUACACCUGCUGGAGCUUGGCUAUUUGUGGUUGCUCUAAUCCUGCAGCAUGACAUAGGAGUAAACAUUUUACUAGUUGGUAAGUUGACAAACUCUCUCCUACCCUGUAAACAUGGAGUAUAGGAACUUUUAAGGUUUUAGUUGUGCUAACUAAAGUUGUGUUCUAUUAAUGUGUAGAAAUAAUAUAUGCUGAAAGAAUCAUAAAAAUGCUGAUGUAUUUUGCAAUUCAUGAUUGUAGCCAGUUCGUAUCAUGUUUAUUUAUAGGACAUCGAGUCACUUCUGUCCCUUUGGUAUUUGGUCAUUUCCUGCCAAGCUUGCUUCGUUAUAAUUCUACUAAAUUAUCCUGUUAUGUGGCGGAGAAACUUUAAUAAUGAUUAUAACUUGUUCGUCUAUACAUGAUUAAUAAGCAAUGAUCUUAAAAAUAGGUAUUUGAGAAGAAAGCCAAAAUGAUGCACAAGCCAAGGUUUCUUUCCCAUUGAAACAUGGAAGAUUCUUUUGCUAAUACCUAGGCAUGAUGCAUGUGCCUCAACAAUUAUUUCUGAAACAAGGCAUUGUUAGGUCGGAUUGAUACUGCAUUUGCCUUUCAAAAUUAUAAUGUGCAGAGGUAGGUCAAAAUUGAUUAGGCUUUCAGUUCCAUACUAAGAUUGACCUCUUGGAAAUCUUUAAGAUGUGCGGUAGUGUCUUUCAAUGGAAUUUCAUGAUAUUCUUUUUGCGAGUUCAUUUUGCCAAUCUAGGAGAUCUGCAAAUAUAAAUCCAAAUUGACUCCUGGUUCAGCUGAUUCUUCAACUUCAGAUGUAUCGUUUGUGAAGGAGUCAAUUGUUGACAUUGAAUUUCUGGAGAUGCACAAUCCUCUUGGGAUUAUAUUGGACAAUUUCAAUGUGUUAUUGCGGAGACAACAUGAGGCUCAUUAAAUCUUGAGAAUCUUGGACUAGAGGGAUCUGACAUUCAAGGGGAUAUCUUCUUUGAACUUUGAUGCACAUGGCAGAGUAAGGUUGGCUCAACUUGAAGAAUAGACAAGAUUCCAUUAUUAGCAGCGUCCUUGCUUGUUGGUGAGUGCAAAGGUAUCGAUAGGGCUAUGAAUGACAUCCACCAAUCCAGCAAGCUGGGCUGGAAAUGCUAAAAUCUUAGGGACCCUACAUGAUGCCCAACCAUACAUGAUCAGCAAUGGAGAUUUAUGUAGCUGAGGUAACUUUUCAAAAGUUGAGACACAUUUAUACAAAUUUGUAUGAAUAUUUCCAAUAUUUGAGACACUCUAAGCUUCAUCAAGAUUUCAUGCACUUGGAGCCUAGUAAUAUAUUGAGUUCGUCAUUUCUUUUGAUAAUUGAUUGCUUU
rnacentral:lncRNA from 1 species